ensembl:lncRNA
CUUGAACUUUUAAGGUCUGAUUUUUUUACUUGAAUCAGGAAAAAAAAUAGAUGAUUGCUAGGAAGAAAGCUGUGAUGUGAAAAGCUGAGAGAUUCCAACUCAUUUUGUUUCUGUAAAGAUCUGAAGCACAUUUCCCCUUCAUCAGUUAUAUUAUUCUCCAUCCUACAUCACUUACUUUUCAAUUAAUAACUUUUUCCCAAAUCCCUUUUUUUUUCUGUGCCUGCACAGAAUCCUGACCCUUAGGAAUCAGCAGGGAAUUUUGCCAGGGAUGCCAUGGAGAUGUAUCCCAGCCACAUGGGUACAGCCUGCAGUGUUUUUGCAGGGGAAAAGGCAGUGCCUGAGCUGUUGUCCUCAUAGGAAUUUCUUCCCUUUUGGGGUCCCUCUGUGUUUGUUGACCCAUGUGAGGCCAUAACUGGUGGCCCUUGAUCAGCCUUUGCAAAACCUGUUUCCCUUUAGGCUGCCCUUGCAGGAUGUCUCUUUCCCCACCUGCCAUGGCUCCAGAGGGACAUUUGCACUCCCAGUGUCUCUCUAAACCUCACUGUAGCACUGGGAUGGUUAAAUAACUGCCCCUUUUUAGGUAGCACUACUGAUAAAAAGCUCCUUCUGGUCUUGUUUCAGCUUCAUGCCAAGGCACGCUGCUGGCUGCUGGUGGUGUGUCUUCUUCAAAGGAUGGCUGCCAUCCUUGUUCGCUUCUCUGCAGAGAGCAAAGAGCCUUUGAAACCUGUGUAUCUAGGUUGUGCCAGUUUCCAGGAUUCCCCUCCACCCCUAUCCCCGCCCCUCGCCCCGGUUCCUCGCACAGACGUGAGCAGCUGCAGCCAUGGAAGACUUCUUUGUAGAGGAGGCAGCUCCAGUGAAACAGGUAGGCGGGCUGGGGUGGGCACUCAGUGCCCUGAGUGUGCUGUGGUGGCUGGCAGCAUUUAAACCCAACAGACCCAAGCUCCAGCCAGCUCACAAGCCCCUGCUACCUACGAGGCAGCAAGGAUGAUAGGAUAUUGCAGAGACACAUCAGGUGUGGUCCAGAGCAGCCUGUAAUUCUGGAUGAAGAUGUGCUGGUGUCCAUUGGGAGAAGGUUAAAAAGUUCCUUGUGCAACUAGAAAUCUCUGUGUUUUGCUCAUGGGGUGGGUGUUGCUGUUAGCAGACCUCUGUGUCCCAGGGAGGAGAGGAUUCAGCAGGAAUGAUGCUGAGAAGUUCUGAAGUCUUGAGGGAGCAGGGAAGGAGAGGAGAAGUCUGGAGGUUUCCUGUGCAGGCCUGGGUGUGAUGAGUGUUUCACUGGUCUGUCCUCAGAUAGAAUAUUGGCACCAUUACUGCUUCUCUGACUUUUCCAUUUCAGGGGGUGUUGGAGCAGAUAACAGGACAAUGUUGCAGCACAGGUUACAUCAGGACUGGAUUUGUCCUGUCUGCCUUAUAUUGACAUAAAAUGUUUUCUUCCCAUGUGAUUCCUUUAAUUUUGUCAUCAUUUCUAUUAAUUUGGUUGGUUGGUUGUUUUUUUCUGAGUUGGUUACUCUUUAACUUAUUCACACCUCUGGUUGCUUCAGCCCUGCCCUAGACAGAUGUAUCUCUGUGCAAGCAGUACCCUUGGGCAAAAUUAUUUACAGCAAUCCCUGCGUGGGGCAGAAAUGUGACACUGGUUAUUGCCAUGGAGUUUGACCAAAAGGAUGCAGGGCAGCAGGUGACAUGUUAUUGUUGCAGGUUCUUUAGACCAAACCUGAUUUGGGGAGUGCUUUCUUCAUUAGGAAAAGUGACAGCUGCACAAGUUGCCUGUUACACUUCUCUCAUUCCACCAGACUGAUGCUGCAGUGUUUGAAGAGUUGUGCAUUAAGAGGGAUUUUCUGUGAUGGAACUGUACAAACUGAGAUAUUCAGGGUGGAAAAUAGUUAAAGCUAAUUAUUUGAACAGGCUUUUUAACCCAUGGGCAUAUUUU